AGUAUUUAAGCAAGUCCGGCUGUUUUCCUGGCUUGUGAUAGCAGUCUCUAACAGCACAGCACCAAAGUUCCUUGACCCACGCGACGUCUAAGUGGAAAAGGAUAGUCUACUGGUAUGCGUAGUGGGGAUUAUAAGAAGUUAAUCGUGCCAAAGACUGUUCCUGCCUGUAUGGUAUGAUGCCAGCGUAACAGUAACAGGAGCCUAUUGUAGUCACUGUUUUUCCCAUUGUAAGGUUUACUUUAAAAGCUAAUGUGGGUCUGUUUAAUGCCCUGUAGGGUAGUCUAAUCGCCAUCAGCAUAAGACCCACAGUGAAAUGCCUUGUUAUAGUGUGUUGUAAGCGUGUGUAAAACCACCUCCACUUUUGUUUAGUUUAUUUGUUUAUUUCCUUAUUUUGUAUAUUUAUCCGGCGAGGUCUAUUCCCUUUUCCCACUUUUGUCAGCCGGGGCAGGGAAGCACAAGAGGUUGUGAGGGCUUAUUCUUAGCUUAUGCCAUUCGGCCUUGGCAAGUGUGCUGGUCAUACAAGCCUGUGUGGUGUGGUGCUACGAAGUUCUAUAUGUGUGUAGUGAACUAGCAUAAUAUCCCUGCCACUUGGGCUUGGUGCAUACGCUGGUCGUACCAGCCUGGGUGGUGGGUGAGUUUGUUGAUAUACUGUGACUGUGACCCUCGGGAUGAGUGUAGUGGAUUUAAACUGACGAUAGCACUGACGUGAUAUAGUAUACUUGUUGUCUGAGUGUGGUGCAUAGUUACCUUAGUCAUAGUGCUUAGUGGUGUAGUACAUUUGCUGCCUGAGUGUGGUGUAUUGCUGAGCUGAAUAUAGUAGUUUAGCAGUGUAGUGUAAGAUCUUGCUGCGCCCCUGUGGGCUUUCUUUUCCGGCUGGCUCUUUUUGUCUUUUUCCCCCUCGCCCCUUAUAGCUUAUUGUGUGUGCCCUUGUU